rnacentral:rRNA from 1 species
CUGUCGUCAGCUCGUGUCGUGAGAUGUUCGGUUAAGUCCGCUAACGAGCGCAACCCUCGUCGUAUGUUAUAUGUGUCAUACGAGACUGACCGGUAAAAAGCCGGAGGAAGGUGAGGAUGAUGUCAAGUCAGCAUGACCUUUAUAUCCAGGGCUACACACACGCUACAAUGGUCUGUACAAUGGGUGGCCAAGCCGCGAGGCGGAGCCAAUCCUGAAAGCAGGCCUCAGUUCAGAUUGCAGUCUGCAACUCGACUGCAUGAAGCCGGAGUUGCUAGUAACCGCAGGUCAGCAAUACUGCGGUGAAUACGUUCCCGGGUCUU